CACAAGUGGCAAGUGACAGACAGAGAUGCAUCCGGCGCUAGGUUCAAAUUUCGUCGACGAUUUAAAUAAUUUAAAUUUAAAAACGGUUUCGCACUAUUAAUUAUUAGCGGCGGAUUUCUGAUAAUUACAAAAUCAAUAACGAUUGUAAAUAUAGAUAUUGAUUUCGAGUGAUCUGUCGUCCUUUAUCGCGCAUAAUAUUUUAUUUAAGUACCCUUGAAGUGAAUCAGGGACAGUUUAAACAGAGAAAUGAGGCCGGCCAGAUAUUUGGGUUAAAUGUCUUGGAACGGUGGAAACAGAGAUGUUUUUACUCCGUACUCUCGCAUUCCACCAAUUGGCAGCAAAAAUACGGGUUUCCAAAAUUUCAAAACUGACAGCCGGGCUGUGGACAUAGGGAAAAAACAUGCGACCUACCCGCAGCGAAAAAGAAAACUACCUCCAAAAGAAACUUCCAAGUCACUAGAGACCGAGAAAUUGCUAAUCAGGAGAAAAACGUACAUCGUUUUGGAACCCCUAGUUUUGAAAAAACCCAAAUGUGGAAAGAAAUCACUGUAAACUACCUAAGAAUAAACUAUUUAUUCACAA